UACGUAGGGGGCUAGCGUUGUCCGGAAUCAUUGGGCGUAAAGAGCGUGUAGGCGGCCCGGUAAGUCCGCUGUAAAAGUCAAAGGCUCAACCUUUGAAUGUCGGUGGAUACUGCCGGGCUAGAGUCCGGAAGAGGCGAGUGGAACUCCUGGUGUAGCGGUGGAAUGCGCAGAUAUCAGGAAGAACACCAACGGCGAAGGCAGCUCGCUGGGACGGUACUGACGCUGAGACGCGAAAGCGUGGGGAGCGAACAGG
rnacentral:rRNA from 1 species